rnacentral:rRNA from 1 species
UUGGAUAACUGUGGUAAUUCUAGAGCUAAUACAUGCUGACCAGCUCCGACCCCUCCGGGAAAGAGCGCUUUUAUUAGUUCAAAACCAGUCGGGUUCUGCCCGUCCUUUGGUGACUCUGGAUAACUUUGUGCCGAUCGCAUGGCCUCGAGCCGGCGACGCAUCUUUCAAAUGUCUGCCCUAUCAAAUGACGAUGGUACGUGAUCUGCCUACCAUGUUAGCAACGGGUAGCGGGGAAUCAGGGUUCGAUUCCGGAAUCGAACCCUGAU